rnacentral:rRNA from 1 species
UACAGAGGGUGCGAGCGUUGUCCGGAAUCACUGGGCGUAAAGGGCGCGUAGGUGGUAGCUUAAGCGUGCGGUGAAAGCUCGGGGCUCAACUCCGAGUCGGCCGUGCGAACUGGGCUCACUGGAGCAUAGUAGAGGCAGGUGGAAUUCCGGGUGUAGCGGUGGAAUGCGUAGAGAUCCGGAAGAACACCGGUGGCGAAGGCGGCCUGCUGGGCUAUGGCUGACACUGAGGCGCGACAGCGUGGGGAGCAAACAGG